UGCGUAGGCUGCCUAUUAAGUUGGAUGUGAAAGCCCUCGGCUUAACCGAGGAACUGCGUCCAAAACUGGUGGGCUUGGGGUUGGUAGGGGACAGUGGAACUCCAGGUGGAGCGGUGAAAUGCGUAGAGAUCUGGAGGAACUCCGGUGGCGAAAGCGACUGUCUGGGCCAUACCCGACGCUGAUGCACGAAAGCCAGAGGAGCAAACG
rnacentral:rRNA from 1 species